GUGGAUAGAGGUGUGGUCUUAAAACUAACUUUUCAAAGUGAUUUAUUCAAAUUUUGAGAUGUCGUCAUGACAGUGCUUCAAAACGGAUUUAGAACGUCAACGCAUCUGACGCUUUAGGACAGACCAAUCACAGCGGCGCUGUGAUGCGGAGCCAAAACCGACCAAUCACAGAGCUGCUCUGAUGUGGAACCAGACCGGUCCAAUCAUAGGCGAAGCGCGCAUCCAGGGGCCCAUGGAGAGAGGGGACAAUUACAGGAAAAGUGUCAGAAGUUCCACCAAACGUGCUCACGUAAGAUUUUCUUAGUGGAAAGCAGCGGUUAAUAGUUAAUCGAGAGAGAGAAAAAGAGAUUGUCUAGUUUUUGUAAACUGCAUGAUUUCAGUAAGCAUAAAAAAGUCAUAAACCUAAAAAAAUAUAUAUAAAACUGAUCUCUGGUCCUUUUGGUCAUAGUUCAGUGUGCUUAUUCUUUAUGAGGCAGCGUGAUACAAAGUCCCAUUAAUUUUCAUCAUCUGCACACCUUACAGUCACAUUUGCAAGUGUUAUCCAUUAUUAAAAACUGACAAACAAUCUACAGCAGUCAAUACACACAGCUGACUAACUGCAUUAUAUAUAUAUAUAUAUUUUUUUUUUUUUUUUUUUGCUGACAUGUCUUUGACACGCCAUUUAAUUUUUCUUGGACAAACCUGAAAAAAUGACUAGAUUUAAUUUCACCUGUAGUUUGACUGAAAAUAUUUAUUUUAGUUUUUAUGGCUUAAGCAUGGUCAAAAUUACAUUUCCAGCCAAUGUAAAGAAUAAAAGCGUUAUCUACUUAAUGAAAACGAGGUCAAAUUAAUAAGUGUAAUAACAGAUUGUUAAUCUAAUAUUUUUACCAAGCGCAUUCAGUCCUCUGACCAAUAAAAAAAAAAACAAAGCAAACAAAACCAUUCUGUCCGUCAUGCCAGGGGCACGUGCUUGUGAAACAGCUUUCAUUGCCUGACGCCGAUUAAAUGAUUUAAUGAACUGAAUUUAAAAGUACAAACAUUCCACACAAACGGCAUUUAAAAGGACCGUUUCCAGAAGGCUGCAAGGAACGAUAAAGAUAUUACAGUGGACUGUGAAAGGCAUUGUUUGUCAACGCAGGUGUUUCACUCAAUAAGCAGAAUAUGUACAGGAAUCACCUCAGUUGAACCAUAUACAGAUGUUAAAGCUAACAAAUUAUAGCUUAACCUACUUUCUCUCCAUUAUUUUUUUUUUUUAUACAAAGAAAA